AUUGAACGCUGGCGGCAGGCCUAACACAUGCAAGUCGAGCGGUAGCACAAGAGAGCUUGCUCUCUGGGUGACGAGCGGCGGACGGGUGAGUAAUGUCUGGGAAACUGCCUGAUGGAGGGGGAUAACUACUGGAAACGGUAGCUAAUACCGCAUGACGUCUUCGGACCAAAGUGGGGGACCUUCGGGCCUCACGCCAUCAGAUGUGCCCAGAUGGGAUUAGCUAGUAGGUGGGGUAAUGGCUCACCUAGGCGACGAUCUCUAGCUGGUCUGAGAGGAUGACCAGCCACACUGGAACUGAGACACGGUCCAGACUCCUACGGGAGGCAGCAGUGGGGAAUAUUGCACAAUGGGCGCAAGCCUGAUGCAGCCAUGCCGCGUGUAUGAAGAAGGCCUUCGGUUGUAAGUACGUUUCAGCGAGAGGAAGGCGAUUAAGGUUAAUAACCUUAGU
rnacentral:rRNA from 1 species